GACAUACUCCCUCCGUCCGGAAAUACUUGUCAUCAAAAUGGAUAAAAAGAGAUGUAUCUAGAACUAAAAUACAUCUACAUACAUCCUAUUUUAUCCAUUUUGAUGACAAGUAUUUCCGGACGGAGGGAGUAUGAG
rfam:Triticum aestivum genome assembly, contig: Triticum_aestivum_CS42_TGACv1_scaffold_158186_2DL